CCUACGUGAGGCAGCAGUAGGGAAUCUUCCACAAUGGGCGAAAGCCUGAUGGAGCAACGCCGCGUGGGUGAAGAAGGUCUUCGGAUCGUAAAACCCUGUUGUUAGAGAAGAAAGUGCGUGAGAGUAACUGUUCACGUUUCGACGGUAUCUAACCAGAAAGCCACGGCUAACUACGUGCCAGCAGCCGCGGUAAUACGUAGGUGGCAAGCGUUAGCCGGAUUUAUUGGGCGUAAAGGGAACUCAGGCGGUCGUUUCAGUCUGAUGUGAAAGCCUUCGGCUUAACCGGAGUAGUGCAUUGGAAACUGGGAGACUUGAGUGCAGAAGUGGAGAGUGGAACGCAAUGUGUAGCGGGGAAAGGCGUAGAUAGAUGGAAGAACACCAGUGGCGAAAGCGGCUCUCUGGUCUGUAACUGACGCUGAGGUUCGAAAGCGUGGGUAGCAAACAGGAUUAGAUACCCGGGUAGUC
rnacentral:rRNA from 1 species